rnacentral:rRNA from 1 species
UACGUAGGGUGCAAGCGUUAAUCGGAAUUACUGGGCGUAAAGCGUGCGCAGGCGGUUGGGCAAGACAGAUGUGAAAUCCCAGGGCUUAACCUGGGAAUUGCAUUUGUGACUGUACGGCUAGAGUGUGUCAGAGGGGGGUAGAAUUCCACGUGUAGCAGUGAAAUGCGUAGAGAUGUGGAGGAAUACCGAUGGCGAAGGCAGCCCCCUGGGAUAACACUGACGCUCAUGCACGAAAGCGUGGGGAGCAAACAGG